UACGUAGGAUGCAAGCGUUGUCCGGAAUUAUUGGGCGUAAAGGGUGCGCAGGCGGUUUUUCAAGUCAGAUGUGAAAUCUCCCGGCUUAACUGGGAGGGGCCAUUUGAAACUGGAGGACUAGAGUGCAGGAGAGGAUAGCGGAAUUCCCGGUGUAGUGGUGAAAUGCGUAGAUAUCGGGAGGAACACCAGUGGCGAAGGCGGCUACCUGGCCCACUCUUGACGCUGAGGCGCGAAAGCUAGGGGAGCAAACGGG
rnacentral:rRNA from 1 species